GUAAAUUCAAAGGCAUUAAUGAUUCUUUUAAAUAUAUAAAGCAGCUAUGUUAUAUUAUAUUAUAUGUAAAACGUUGAAUGGCAAAGAAACAUGUAUAAGCUGUGCAAGCUUUUAUUAUAUAAAUUUUAAAAAUAAAAUUAAAAAUGUGCUGUAAAAGUGACGGCUAUGCUUUUCUCCUGAAAUAUCAUACGUAAUUAACUAUCGCUCGAAAUAGCCGAUUUAUUGUGGGCGUACGAUUAAAGAAGCCCGUUAGAUCUCGUUAUGUGCACUUACUUCGAGUCUUCGAGGUCUUCGACUACGAAUGCACUUAAUUGCAAAAUAUCGAUUAUAUCUCUGGUCAGAGGUUUAUCUUUAUUAUAUGUGGACAGAAGAUUCAACGAACCUGUUCUAUAGUUCUCAUCGAUUUCAUCUUUUCGUCAUAUAUCUACUUCAUAUUUUGAUGAUAAUGUUAUCAGAUAACUAGAAAUAAAAAUCAAUGCAUUUCCACCACCCA